rnacentral:rRNA from 1 species
CAGUCGCCGCGGGAAUACGUAGGGUGCGAGCGUUAAUCGGAAUUACUGGCGUAAAGCGUGCGCAGGCGGUUGUGUAAGACAGGUGUGAAAUCCCCGGGCUUAACCUGGGAACUGCGCUUGUGACUGCACAGCUAGAGUAUGGCAGAGGGGGGUGGAAUUCCGCGUGUAGCAGUGAAAUGCGUAGAUAUGCGGAGGAACACCGAUGGCGAAGGCAGCCCCCUGGGCCAACACUGACGCUCAUGCACGAAAGCGUGGGGAGCAAACAGGAUUAGAUACCCCCGUAGUCCCUGUCUCUUAUACA